GAUGAACGCUGGCGGCAUGCCUUACACAUGCAAGUCGAACGGCAGCGCGGGCUUCGGCCUGGCGGCGAGUGGCGAACGGGUGAGUAAUACAUCGGAACGUGCCCUAGAGUGGGGGAUAACUAGUCGAAAGAUUAGCUAAUACCGCAUACGAUCUCAGGAUGAAAGUGGGGGACCGCAAGGCCUCAUGCUCCUGGAGCGGCCGAUGUCUGAUUAGCUUGUUGGUGGGGUAACGGCCCACCAAGGCGACGAUCAGUAGCUGGUCUGAGAGGACGACCAGCCACACUGGGACUGAGACACGGCCCAGACUCCUACGGGAGGCAGCAGUGGGGAAUUUUGGACAAUGGGGGAAACCCUGAUCCAGCAAUGCCGCGUGUGUGAAGAAGGCCUUCGGGUUGUAAAGCACUUUUGUCAGGAACGAAACGGUGGGGGCUAAUACCUUCUGCUAAUGACGGUACCUGAAGAAUAAGCACCGGCUAACUACGUGCCAGCAGCCGCGGUAA
rnacentral:rRNA from 1 species